GACGAACGCUGGCUGCGUGCUUAACACAUGCAAGUCGAACGGAAAGACCCUGCUUUUGUUGGGUGCUCGAGUGGCGAACGGGUGAGUAACACGUGAGUAACCUGCCCUUGACUUUUGGAUAACUUCAUGAAUCUGGGGCUAAUACCGGAUAGGAGCUCCUGCUGCAUGGUGGGGGUUGGAACGUUUCGGCGGUUGGGGAUGGACUCGCGGUUUAUCAGCUUGUUGGUGGGGUAGUGGCUUACCAAGGCUUUGACGGGUAGCCGGCCUGAGAGGGUGACCGGCCACAUUGGGACUGAGAUACGGCCAAGACUACUACGGGAGGCAGCAGUGGGGAAUAUUGAACAAUGGGCGGAAGCCGGAUGCAGCAACGCCGCGUGCGGGAUGACGGCCUUCGGGUUGUAAACCGCUUUCGCCUGUGACGAAGCGUGAGUGACGGUAAUGGGUAAAGAAGCACAGGCUAACUACGUG
rnacentral:rRNA from 1 species